rnacentral:lncRNA from 1 species
CAUGGCAGACAGAGACUCUGCAAACACAGAUGCCUCCAUUUUGAUUAGUUAUUUACAAAUGCGAUCCGAUUUCGCAUAGUAAAGCAAAUAACUGCCCAACUUAAAAAUUUGAGUGUUCUUGUCAAAAAAAAAGAGACAUAAACAAAAAUACACAAAUCAUAAAAAGAUUAAAAAUCUUUUUUUUCUUGUAUAGAAGAAAAUGAUACAAUCUCCGCUAUAAAUCUCAGACAUAAUUACUUCAUAAUAUCAACUCUUAGCGCAAAAUACAGAAAAAUCACUACACAAACACACAA